UUGUGAUUCAUUAAGAAAGCUUUCCCUUUCCCUUUCCCUUUCUUCUUCCUCCCUCCGUACUCUGCUGAGUGUUUUUAGCCUUUUUAAUCUGUGUGUUCCAAAUUACCCUCCAUCCAUGGCCACCGCCCCUGCAACCCCCGACUGGUGCAGCCUCCCAGACCCCAUUUUCUUCAACAUCCUGCAACGCCUCCAAUCCAAACUGAACUCAGCCGUUUCCGCGCCGUCUGCAGGUCGUUCCGCUUCGCCGUCCCUCUCCCCUCUACGAAACUUUCAUUCGUCAUUGCGGAAUCCACUGUCUAUGCGUUGCAACACCUUUCCUACGAGGCCCCUCCGUCGAUAAUCAAAGUUGAAAAAUCAAGCCAGGGAAAAACCCGGGUCCAGGAUCCUUACUCUCGCCGCCAUUUUGAAGAGCAUGUUCUUGACAAGUUGCCUCAGUCAGUGAACUUGCUGGAAUAUCGCGUGCAGGAAAUCGGUAAAAGGUAUAGAAUUGAUUGGGUUCCGGUUGAACAUCCGAGAUAGUUCAGUGGGUGGAAGUAUAUUUUGUUGCAAAAUUUGCCGUCUCUGCAGAUAAUGAUGAGUUAGCGGUCAUGGUUUUUCUGAAUUUUGAGUUGAUGGUUUGGAGAAGCAGUGAUAAGAAAUGGGUCGACUUGGGUUUUGGUGAUGUUGAUGUUCAGGAUAUUGUUUAUUAUAAGAAGCAAUUUCAUGUAGUGAUGUCAAAUGGGCAUAUUUUAAGUGUUGAUCCGAAGUCUUUGGAGGUUAGUUCUCCAUUGUUGACCCGUUUUACUUACAAAAACUUUUCUUAAUAUUCUAGUGUAUUUGAUUGAAAAUCGUAAUAGUAGUGAUAAAAAAUUUGGAAAUAAGAAAAAUCUCUCCAGCUAAGGCUGAGAAAGUGGUUUUGAAUUCUAUUUUCUACGUGUUUGAGCUUGACGAAGAAGAGCAAGAGAGGAUUGAAGUGAGGGAUUUGGAUGGUAGAGCAUUGUUUCUGUUUGAUGGAGGUGUCUUAUUUGUUUCGGCUAAAGAUUUUAUGGGAAUAAAACCAAAUUGUGUUUAUAUGGGUGAAACUGAUUUCUUUGAGAUUACAUAUGAUUUUCCCGGGAUGUAUACUUCGAUUUUUGACUUCAGUGACGGUGGUAACGAGUGGCUCAUUUCAUUUCCUGAAUCUUCUGUAUAUUUUGGCCUCCACCAGCUUGGCUCUUCACUGAAUUUUCAGAUACUCAACUUUUAGGGAAUGGUUGCAUAACUCCAUGAUCUCUCUUCUCUCAGCCAUGAUUCAUUCUCUCUAUACUUUCAUAUGUCAAAAACAAAUAUUUACCAGUAAACUAAGUUUACUUUUUAUCUUUUCUUUCAUGGAUCGUAUCCUCUUGAAUAACUCUCACCAUUUUGUCAUGAGUAAACUGUUUUAUUUAAUAAUUUGUUUUUGUGAUUUAUUGGAACUUUCUUAUUGGUGUUUAUGCGAGCCUCUAUGUGGAUUUUUUCCGUGAUGUGUUUACUGAUUGAUUCCUG